GGGGAAUUUUCUGCGACUGUCCCAAGUGAGCCUGAGGUUCGACUAGCCAUAAAACCCGGUUCAAUUCACCAUUUUCUACAUAAGAAAAUGCCUGUACGAUUCGGAAUAUAACAGUUGUUAUCCAUUUGUUUGAUUUUGCCGUUUGAUUUCGGACUUUCCGUUUUUUAAUUUCCUUGGAGUCGUUUUUUUUUUUAGGUUAUUUUACUUUUUAUUAGCACUUUCUUUAAUCUUUUGCUUAACUCAUGUAUUAAAUAAUUGUUUUCCUGCUAAAUUUUAAUAAUUUAAAUAUACAUUUUUGUCUCCUUUUUUACCCCUUUUCUCCUUUCUCCUGCCCCUUCUCUCUUUUAUCCCGCCCCUUCUCGCCUUUCU
rnacentral:lncRNA from 1 species